AGCCACAGCCAUAUCCCUCUGCAGCCCAAGACCGGUUUACUUACUGAAGCUAAGCAGGGCUGAGGCUGGUCAGUACUUGGAUGGGAGACCACAUGGGAAAACUAGGUUGCUGUUGGAA
rnacentral:rRNA from 1 species